GUGGGGAAUAUUGGACAAUGGGGGGAACCCUGAUCCAGCCAUGCCGCGUGUGUGAAGAAGGCCUUUUGGUUGUAAAGCACUUUAAGCGAGGAGGAGGCUACCGAGAUUAAUACUCUUGGAUAGUGGACGUUACUCGCAGAAUAAGCACCGGCUAACUCUGUGCCAGCAGCCGCGGUAAUACAGAGGGUGCAAGCGUUAAUCGGAUUUACUGGGCGUAAAGCGCGCGUAGGUGGCCAAUUAAGUCAAAUGUGAAAUCCCCGAGCUUAACUUGGGAAUUGCAUUCGAUACUGGUUGGCUAGAGUAUGGGAGAGGAUGGUAUAAUUCCAGGUGUAGCGGUGAAAUGCGUAGAGAUCUGGAGGAAUACCGAUGGCGAAGGCAGCCAUCUGGCCUAAUACUGACACUGAGGUGCGAAAGCAUGGGGAGCAAACAGGAUUAGAUACCCCGGUAGUCC
rnacentral:rRNA from 1 species